AAUGACCAGGACAAAGGGUCGCGAUCCCGCGAGGGUGAGCUAACCCCAAAAACCUGUCCCCAGUUCGGAUUGCAGGCUGCAACUCGCCUGCAUGAAG
rnacentral:ncRNA from 1 species